UUCAUCAUCCCUGGUUCAUAUGGGGCACCAGAUUUUUUAACCCAUCCAUCACUAUUAUCACUACCAGCUUUAAGUACGACUCCAGGGGUAAAUUUCUCAAUAGCAUCUUUUGCAGGAUUCUUAUUGUAACUUUUCCAAGUUACUCUUUUAUCGGUAUUUGCACCGGGGCCCCUAUUUAGGUACUCAGCAAAGUAUGAUGUGUCAAGUCCAAAGGUACCGGCAAAUGGAAUCCAUCCUUCAGGGUCAAUGAUACCAUCAAUUUCUGAUUCCAUCACUAUGGCCCUUGAGUACAACUUAGCCGGUCGUCCGAGGAACACCUUGUUAACUGCUGGCUUGACUGC
rnacentral:lncRNA from 1 species